UACGUAGGGGGCGAGCGUUGUCCGGAUUUAUUGGGCGUAAAGAGCUCGUAGGUGGCUCGGUAAGUCGGGUGUGAAAUUUCGAGGCUCAACCUCGAGACGCCACCUGAUACUGCUGUGGCUAGAGUCCGGUAGGGGAGCGUGGAAUUCCUGGUGUAGCGGUGAAAUGCGCAGAUAUCAGGAGGAACACCAGCGGCGAAGGCGGCGCUCUGGGCCGGUACUGACACUGAGGAGCGAAAGCGUGGGGAUCAAACAGG
rnacentral:rRNA from 1 species